rnacentral:rRNA from 1 species
AUGCUUGACCUCAAAUCAGGUAGGACUACCCGCUGAACUUAAGCAUAUCAAUAAGCGGAGGAAAAGAAACUAACAAGGAUUCCCCUAGUAACUGCGAGUGAAGCGGGAAAAGCUCAAAUUUAAAAUCUGGCGGUCUUUGGCCGUCCGAGUUGUAAUCUAGAGAAGUAAUGCCCGUGCUGGACCGUGUAUAAGUCUCCUGGGAUGGGGCGUCAUAGAGGGUGAGAAUCCCGUCUUUGACACGGACUACCAGUACAUUGUGGUAUGCUCUCAAAGAGUCGAGUUGUUUGGGAAUGCAGCUCAAAAUGGGUGGUAAAUUCCAUCUAAAGCUAAAUAUUGGCGAGAGACCGAUAGCGAACAAGUACCGUGAGGGAAAGAUGAAAAGAACUUUGGAAAGAGAGUUAAACAGUACGUGAAAUUGCUGAAAGGGAAACGCUUGAAGUCAGUCGCGUUGGCCGGGAAUCAGCCUUGCUUUUGCAUGGUGUACUUUCUGGUUGACGGGUCAGCAUCAAUUUUGAUCACUGGAAAAGGCUCAAGGGAAUGUGGCAGCUUCGGCUGUGUUAUAGCCCCUGUUCACAUACAGUGGUUGGGAUUGAGGAACUCAGCACGCCGCAAGGCCGGGUUUCGACCACGUUCGUGCUUAGGAUGCUGGCAUAAUGGU